rnacentral:rRNA from 1 species
CCUACGGGAGGCAGCAGUGGGGGAAUCUUGCGCAAUGGGCGAAAGCCUGACGCAGCCAUGCCGCGUGAAUGAUGAAGGUCUUAGGAUUGUAAAAUUCUUUCACCGGGGACGAUAAUGACGGUACCCGGAGAAGAAGCCCCGGCUAACUUCGUGCCAGCAGCCGCGGUAAUACGAAGGGGGCUAGCGUUGCUCGGAAUUACUGGGCGUAAAGGGAGCGUAGGCGGAUAGUUUAGUCAGAGGUGAAAGCCCAGGGCUCAACCUUGGAAUUGCCUUUGAUACUGGCUAUCUUGAGUGUGGGAGAGGUUAGCGGAACUCCGAGUGUAGAGGUGAAAUUCGUAGAUAUUCGGAAGAACACCAGUGGCGAAGGCGGCUAACUGGCCCAUUACUGACGCUGAGGCUCGAAAGCGUGGGGAGCAAACAGGAUUAGAUACCCUGGUAGUCCACGCCGUAAACGAUGAGUGCUAGUUGUCGGCAUGCAUGCAUGUCGGUGACGCAGCUAACGCAUUAAGCACUCCGCCUGGGGAGUACGGUCGCAAGAUUAAAACUUAAAUGAAUUGACGGCUGAGAGNGCGACGACGACGACGAGGGAGAGG